UGCUAAAGUCAGGCUUCUGGCUAAAGUGA
rnacentral:piRNA from 1 species